GGGGGGGGGGGGGGGGUGCGGCGGGCGUGGAGGUGGGGCGAGGAGCGGGCGUCGGUCGGUGGCACGUGGCGGGCGGGUGAGUGAUCUGUAGGAAAUCUGCCUGGCGGAGGGGGGCAGCAGAGGGAAACUUCUGCUAAUCCCCCAUCUGAGCGUAGCUGAAGUGCUAUUCUUUGAAACUCCGGUGCCUAAAGAUUCGCCUUCAUAUGAUUAGCCAGUUUGUCGUGUAAUGGCCUACCCAGUCGACGAUCAGUCGCUGGUUUGGGUUGGUGAACAACCAAAAUGGGAAUGAGACCCGGCCCAUACUCCUACGGGAAGGAGCAGUAGGGAAUUUUGCGCAACGGGCGAAAGCCUGACGCAGCAACGCCGCGUGAACGAUUAAGCCCUUCGGGGUGGAAAGUUCUGUCAGUGGGGACGAAACUUGACGGUACCCACAGAGGAAGCACCGGCUAACUCCGUG
rnacentral:rRNA from 1 species